rnacentral:rRNA from 1 species
AGUAACGCGUGAGGAACCUGCCUCAAAGAGGGGGACAACAGUUGGAAACGACUGCUAAUACCGCAUAAGCCCACAGCCCGGCAUCGAGCAGAGGGAAAAGGAGUGAUCCGCUUUGAGAUGGCCUCGCGUCCGAUUAGCUAGUUGGUGAGGUAAUGGCCCACCAAGGCGACGAUCGGUAGCCGGACUGAGAGGUUGAACGGCCACAUUGGGACUGAGACACGGCCCAG